rnacentral:rRNA from 1 species
GUGCCAGCCGCCGCGGUAAUACGUAGGGUGCAAGCGUUAAUCGGAAUUACUGGGCGUAAAGCGUGCGCAGGCGGUUUUGUAAGUCUGUCGUGAAAGCCCCGGGCUUAACCUGGGAAUUGCGAUGGAGACUGCAAGGCUUGAAUCUGGCAGAGGGGGGUAGAAUUCCACGUGUAGCAGUGAAAUGCGUAGAGAUGUGGAGGAACACCGAUGGCGAAGGCAGCCCCCUGGGUCAAGAUUGACGCUCAUGCA